CCUACGGGUGGCAGCAGUGGGGAAUAUUGGGCAAUGGGCGCAAGCCUGACCCAGCAACGCCGCGUGAAGGAAGAAGGCUUUCGGGUUGUAAACUUCUUUUGUCAGGGAAGAGUAGAAGACGGUACCUGACGAAUAAGCCACGGCUAACUACGUGCCAGCAGCCGCGGUAAUACGUAGGUGGCAAGCGUUGUCCGGAUUUACUGGGUGUAAAGGGCGUGUAGCCGGGUUGACAAGUCAGAUGUGAAAUCCUGCGGCUUAACCGCAGAACUGCAUUUGAAACUGUUGAUCUUGAGUACUGGUGAGACAGACGGAAGUCCUAGUGUAGCGGUUGAAUGCGUAGAUAUUAGGAGGAACACCAGUGGCGAAGGCGGUCUGCUGGACAGCAACUGACGGUGAGGCGCGAAAGCGUGGGGAGCAAACAGGAUUAGAUACCCUUGUAGUC
rnacentral:rRNA from 1 species